UGGAGAGGAAGAGGUUUGGAGCAAACUCAAGAGUUCUGUUCUGGAUCUUGAGGAAGUGCGCUCUUUUCCUCUUUCCACUCCACUCCGUCAUCUUCCUAAAGUUAAUAAAGUCAGAACCCUAAACCUAUUGGCCCUGUGGGCAAAUCUAAGUGGGCGAUAUGGCGUGAUGCUAGGAAACAUGCGAGAGUCUCACGGACAGCACAAGCUGCAAGGGAGUAUUUUCUCAUCACCUCAACAGUGUUUAGAAGAGAGAAGUGCUACCAUUUGACCGCUGAAGUUGUUACAUUAGCACAGUGUGGAUAGGGCUUUCCCAGGAGCAGAUCCUGAGACAAGGGUGUGCGUGCAAGGAGUGUGAUUGGGAGGUGACCUCAGAAGGCACUGGCAGGAGAACAGGUGAGUGAGGAAGGGGAGGGAUGAACCAAGUCAGGGUUUGUCAACAAGCAGGUUAUACUGUGGACAGCUGGGUGUGGUCCUGCUGGGACAUCUGGGAGAAAGCCUCGAAUGUGCACUGAAUUGCCCCUCCCGGGGACAAACACUGGGCUAUUUAUCUUCCAGGUCCUGCUCAUCAUUGAAGGAUGGACCUGGGGGCAUCAACUCUCCAGCAUCUGUUGACCCCUCAUGCUGGCCCUCGGAGAAAGCCUGCCGGUGGAGCAUCGCAGGUUUUUUCAGGAGGAACCUGCUGGUGGACACCAUCGAACACUCUCUUGAUGAGACUGAUGCUGAUUCUAUGAUUCCACCAUGAAAUGGAAAUCCCAUAUACUGAGGCAUUGCCUUUUUGUGGUUAUUCUUUUCAACCACAUAAGGCUGGCAAAGGACUCAGAAACUCCUGAGAGUUCCCAGUGAAGGAAAACUUUAAUAUUUGUCACAGUAACUCAUGGACAGAUGAAUGGGAGAAAAGUCACAGAAGUGGUGAUGGGAAGAAGAAGGAGAGGAUAAGGGCAGAAAGAAGAGAAGUGGAAAGAUGGAAACACUUUGUUCAUUGGUAAGUCAUCUGUUAGGACCUUUAUGGUUCCGUAUCUAGGACUGUUAUUUUCCUAAAGUUGGGACAGCUGAGAUUCAGGAUUUUCACUAUUUUUAGCCAGGGGUGAUAAUCUGGCUCUGCCAUGGGUCAAAUUCCACCACUACAGACUUUCGUUUGGCCAGCAAGACAUUUUAAAAAUAUUUGCAUUUCCAAUGGCUAGGCUAGGUUAGGUUAUACUGCAGUAACAAGUAACUCCCAUGCCUUAGGCGCUCAACACAACUAGAGUUUAUUUCUUGUUCAUGUCACAUGUCCGAGGAUGUAUUCUUCUCAUAGCAUCCACGCAGGGACUCAUGCUCUUGGCAGCUUUCUCUUGACAUAGGCUUGCAGGGCCACUGCCACAGUGAAGGCAAGGAGGCAGAGUGAAUGGCUCACUGGUUCUCGAAUCUUUGUCCUGGAAGGUCACCUGCCACUUCGUCUAGAUUUCAUUGCCAGGGCAAGUUGCAUGACUCUCCUAACUUCAGAGGAAGAGGGAAAGGUAAACUGUAGCAGAUGCCUGGAGAGCUGAUCAGCUCUAAUGGGGCACAGCACUGAUGACAACCACGGCUGUGCCCUCUGCAGCUGGCAUGAUCCCACCCUCCCUAUUGUCUUACAUUUUAUGUUACCUUCCAGUUCCAAAAGGCACUC
ensembl:lncRNA